GAUGAACGCUGGCGGCGUGCCUAAUACAUGCAAGUCGAACGGACAGGUGCUGCUCUUGCUCCUCUCUCGUUUGCCGCAGGCGUGUGUGUCACGCGUGUAUACCCUACCUGUCUGUCGGGUAUCAUUUCGGGACACCGGCUAUUAUCCCGUAUAAUCUCUUGCACCACGGUGGUCAAUGGAGAAAUACGGCUUUUCUGUCACUUCUAGAUGCAUCUGCGCCGGAUUAGGUAGUUGGUAAGGUAAAGGCGUACCAAGGGAACGAUGCGUGACCGAAAUGAGGGGGUGAUCAGCCACACUGGGACUGAGACACGGUCCAGAGUCCUACGGGAGGCAGCAGUAGGGAAUCGGGAGCAAUGGGCGAAAGACUGACGGAGAAGCGCCGCGUGAGGGAUGAAGGUCGUCGGAUCGGAAAACUCUGUUAUUAGGGAAGAACAAGUGUGUAAGUAACUAUGCACGUCUUGAAGGUACAUAAGCAGAAAGGCACGGCUAACUAAGUG
rnacentral:rRNA from 1 species